AAAUUGAAGAGUUUGAUCAUGGCUCAGAUUGAACGCUGGCGGCAGGCCUAACACAUGCAAGUCGAGCGGUAGCACAGGAGAGCUUGCUCUCUGGGUGACGAGCGGCGGACGGGUGAGUAAUGUCUGGGAAACUGCCUGAUGGAGGGGGAUAACUACUGGAAACGGUAGCUAAUACCGCAUAACGUCUACGGACCAAAGUGGGGACCUUCGGGCCUCACGCCAUCAGAUGUGCCCAGAUGGGAUUAGCUAGUAGGUGGGGUAAUGGCUCACCUAGGCGACGAUCCCUAGCUGGUCUGAGAGGAUGACCAGCCACACUGGAACUGAGACACGGUCCAGACUCCUACGGGAGGCAGCAGUGGGGAAUAUUGCACAAUGGGCGCAAGCCUGAUGCAGCCAUGCCGCGUGUGUGAAGAAGGCCUUAGGGUUGUAAAGCACUUUCAGCGAGGAGGAAGGGCAGUGUGUUAAUAGCACAUUGCAUUGACGUUACUCGCAGAAGAAGCACCGGCUAACUCCGUGCCAGCAGCCGCGGUAAUACGGAGGGUGCAAGCGUUAAUCGGAAUUACUGGGCGUAAAGCGCACGCAGGCGGUUUGUUAAGUCAGAUGUGAAAUCCCCGCGCUUAACGUGGGAACUGCAUUUGAAACUGGCAAGCUAGAGUCUUGUAGAGGGGGUAGAAUUCCAGGUGUAGCGGUGAAAUGCGUAGAGAUCUGGAGGAAUACCGGUGGCGAAGGCGGCCCCCUGGACAAAGACUGACGCUCAGGUGCGAAAGCGUGGGGAGCAAACAGGAUUAGAUACCCUGGUAGUCCACGCUGUAAACGAUGUCGAUUUGGAGGUUGUGCCCUUGAGGCGUGGCUUCCGGAGCUAACGCGUUAAAUCGACCGCCUGGGGAGUACGGCCGCAAGGUUAAAACUCAAAUGAAUUGACGGGGGCCCGCACAAGCGGUGGAGCAUGUGGUUUAAUUCGAUGCAACGCGAAGAACCUUACCUACUCUUGACAUCCAGAGAAUUCGCUAGAGAUAGCUUAGUGCCUUCGGGAACUCUGAGACAGGUGCUGCAUGGCUGUCGUCAGCUCGUGUUGUGAAAUGUUGGGUUAAGUCCCGCAACGAGCGCAACCCUUAUCCUUUGUUGCCAGCGAUUCGGUCGGGAACUCAAAGGAGACUGCCGGUGAUAAACCGGAGGAAGGUGGGGAUGACGUCAAGUCAUCAUGGCCCUUACGAGUAGGGCUACACACGUGCUACAAUGGCGUAUACAAAGAGAAGCGAACUCGCGAGAGCAAGCGGACCUCAUAAAGUACGUCGUAGUCCGGAUUGGAGUCUGCAACUCGACUCCAUGAAGUCGGAAUCGCUAGUAAUCGUAGAUCAGAAUGCUACGGUGAAUACGUUCCCGGGCCUUGUACACACCGCCCGUCACACCAUGGGAGUGGGUUGCAAAAGAAGUAGGUAGCUUAACCUUCGGGAGGGCGCUUACCACUUUGUGAUUCAUGACUGGGGUGAAGUCGUAACAAGGUAACCGUAGGGGAACCUGCGGUUGGAUCACCUCCUUA
rnacentral:rRNA from 1 species